CUCGGAAACGGGGAGCCAACGCAUCCCCCACAGUCCAGUCAUUAAAAUAUGAUUUGAGCCCAUCUCCCAAAGAGAGAAUCCCAUGAAAGUAGCCCCUGUAAAGCUAAAUCCUUACGGGAUUUGAGUUGGCUUUUAGAACUUUGAUUAGAGCUUUUAAUGGGUAUGAUUGUAAUGGGCUUUGGGGUUUGAUACACAAGGGAAUAAGAAGAAGACAGAUUCCAAGAUAAAAGAAAUGAAUACAGAAGAACUACAGGUACUCAUAGUGGGGUCUUCGAGGGUGUAUUUUUUUGGGGAUACUAUGAUAAUGUGAGAAGGGAAAGGCAACUUCCAUGUGGAGGGUGAAUUAAUCAGGAAAUAAACCUUUUUUUUCUUUUACUUUUUGGACUCUCCCUUAUCUCUUUUGGUUGCUUCUUUUCUAAAGCUACUUCUUUUGCUGUCAAGCUCCACCC